GAAGACAACCAAAUAAGUCAACUAUAAGCAAGCUGGGUGUAUAAAUUGUUAGAUGUGUUAUAAACAAAUAGCGUAGAGCCCUCUAGUUGGUUACAGAGACAGAAAGAGUAUGUGUAUUUUUUAGAACUUAAAGAUAUAGUUAGAAUGGGUGAUUCAAAAUCAAAAACGGUGAUAAUGUUUGUUCUGUUAUUAAUAAUAUUUGGAGGUGGGUGGAGUGAGGGAUGUUUGGAUCAUGAGAGAUUUGCUCUUUUACGACUAAAACAUUUCUUCACUGAUCCUUAUGAUAAGGGAGCUACUGAUUGUUGUCAGUGGGAAGGGGUUGAGUGCAGCAACACCACAGGGCGAGUGAUAGGACUAUACCUUUCUGAAACGUAUUCGGGAGAGUACUGGUAUCUGAAUGCUUCUUUAUUUACUCCCUUUCAACAACUUGAGUCACUUGAUUUAAGUUGGAACAAUAUAGCCGGUUGUGCUGAGAAUGAAGGUGCUUCGUUUAAUUUAAUUAAUUUACUUCCUCCCUCCUAAUUUAAGUUGAAUAUCAAGAUCGAGCAAUUAUAUGCAUAUUCAUUCAGUUGACAAUUUUGACAAUUUUUUUUAAAUGAUUAAUUUUGAAAUUAGACCAACAACCAUGAUCUGUUUUCAUUUUACUUGCAGGUCUAGAGGGGCUGUCAAGAUUGAACAACUUAAAGAUGCUUGAUUUAAGUGGGAACGCAUUCAACAAUAACGUCUUAUCAUCUCUAGCUCGUCUUUCAUCAUUAAGAUCAUUAUAUUUAUCUGACAAUAGAUUGGAAGGAAGUAUUGAUGUUAAAGGUACAAAAUUAAAACUUCAUCUCUUCUCCGAACACUUCCAUUAACUUGCUAAAUUAAGAUUUAAGGCUUUGAAUUCAAUCUGCUGUACGGCCAAGGCGGAUGUACGGUACAGCAGCCUUUCUUGAUGAAGGGUAAUGAGUCUAUAUUCUCCUCUUAUAAAAACUAUAUUAGUUGAUUCUUGUUAUGGUUAAUAGUCUUUAAGAAUGGAUAGAUUUAUUGACUUCAUAACCAAAUUAUGCCUGCCUAGGGCUGCGACUAUUAAUAAAAUUAAUAUUUAAUGUUUAUGUUAACAGAUUUAAGAUUUUAUGCGUUCAUUAAUUGUUAUUAGCUAAAGGAUGAAUUAUAUUUUCAAGCCAAUCAGUUGAUGCAGCUGCAAGAGUUUUUUUUGUUUUACUGACCAUAAUUUUCUCCCAGGUAAAUCUUCUCAUCAGCCCUCAUUUAUCUUUUAUAAAUUGAAGAUCUCACAUUUUCAAACUAUCACUUCCAAACUUCAGUAUCACUUGAGCCAUUCUUGAACCAUUCAAAACUGAACAAGCUUGGAAAUAACCAAAUAUAUGCAAAAAUCGAAUCACAUUCUUUGGCCCCUCAAAAUUCUAAUUAUAUAACUUCUAUAUAUCUCAUUGUCUGGUCACGAAGAUGGUGGCACAUUAAACUUCUCUUCCAUCAACAUCAUUAGGAAUAUGUUCAUCUCUCACACAUUAACUUGAGUGGAGAGUUUCCAAAUUGAUUGUUAGAAAACAAUGCAAAAGCUAGGCACACUUGAUCUGUCUAAUAAUUCUCUUUCGGUAAAAUUAAUUAAUUUUAGGGGGAUAUUCGGCCAAUCUAUAUAAUUUCAGAUUGAUCAUUAAUUAAUUAGACGAUACAAAUUGCUAAAGUGAUUUGAUUUUUGCUGACAAUACAACUAUACAAGUUCAUGACUUGAAAUUUGAUCUCUAUCGAUUGGUUUACAAAUGGACGUACCUGUGCCUUGUGAUGAUAAUUGAACCAGAGAUGUAAAGCUAUAAGGAUUUGACAGCACUAAAUUGUUACAAAGACAUAAAAACAAGUUCCCAUUAUUAUUACUUUUGGCAAAUGUGUGUAAUUUAAUUUUUGACUAUGUGGACCAAAAUGCAAAUGAAAGAAAAAAAAAAACCAAAGAUGUGGAAGUCUUUGGGCUUUUCUUAUAAUUGUGGGUUUUUCAAAGGGAAAAAAUGAGGACACUUCUAAUGUUUGUUUUGAUAAUUACACAUAUACUGUUUAAUUUUAUAUAUGGGCAUAUAAAUCUUUUUUACAAAUAUAUAUUAUUCAUUUUCUGUAUUAUUUUUUAACAUCAUAUUUUUAUUUAUUAUAAAUAUUUAAAGCUAGUUUUUAGGUUGAUAUUUAAUAAAAGGGUAUAAUCGUUCUUUUACUAAACACACACGCUCCUAGUUCCUAUCCAUUUGUCAUCUCAAUCUCUCUCAAUUAUCCUUUAUUGAUAGCUCAAAACGCGUCAUUGUGGAAAAUUAUAGCAAAACAACAAAUAUGGAAAGAAUGGGAAGAAAAUUAACGCGUGAAAGACUUGGAGAAGACAACCAAAUAAGUCAACUAUAAGCAAGCUGGGUGUAUAAAUUGUUAGAUGUGUUAUAAACAAAUAGCGUAGAGCCCUCUAGUUGGUUACAGAGACAGAAAGAGUAUGUGUAUUUUUUAGAACUUAAAGAUAUAGUUAGAAUGGGUGAUUCAAAAUAAAAAACGGUGAUAAUGUUUGUUCUGUUAUUAAUAAUAUUUGGAGGUGGGUGGAGUGAGGGAUGUUUGGAUCAUGAGAGAUUUGCUCUUUUACGACUAAAACAUUUCUUCACUGAUCCUUAUGAUAAGGGAGCUACUGAUUGUUGUCAGUGGGAAGGGGUUGAGUGCAGCAACACCACAGGGCGAGUGAUAGGACUAUACCUUUCUGAAACGUAUUCGGGAGAGUACUGGUAUCUGAAUGCUUCUUUAUUUACUCCCUUUCAACAACUUGAGUCACUUGAUUUAAGUUGGAACAAUAUAGCCGGUUGUGCUGAGAAUGAAGGUGCUUCGUUUAAUUUAAUUAAUUUACUUCCUCCCUCCUAAUUUAAGUUGAAUAUCAAGAUCGAGCAAUUAUAUGCAUAUUCAUUCAGUUGACAAUUUUGACAAUUUUUUUUAAAUGAUUAAUUUUGAAAUUAGACCAACAACCAUGAUCUGUUUUCAUUUUACUUGCAGGUCUAGAGGGGCUGUCAAGAUUGAACAACUUAAAGAUGCUUGAUUUAAGUGGGAACGCAUUCAAC
rnacentral:lncRNA from 1 species